UUAGCGUGCAGUGAAAUUUUCAGGGGCUCAACCCUGAAACUGGUGCGCGAACUGCUUGACUAGAGUAUAUGAGGGGAACCUGGAAUUCCUGGUGUAGGAGUGGAAUCCGUAGAUAUCAGGAGGAACACCAAUGGCGUAGGCAGGGUUCUGGCAUAUUACUGACGCUAAGGCACGAAAGCGUGGGGAGCGAACGGGAUUAGAUACCCCGGUAGUCCACGCUGUAAACGAUGGAUGCUA
rnacentral:rRNA from 1 species